UGGGGAAUUUUGCGCAAUGGGGGAAACCCUGACGCAGCAACGCCGCGUGGAGGAUGAAGCCCCUUGGGGCGUAAACUCCUUUCGACCAAGACGAUAAUGACGGUACUGGUGGAAGAAGCACCGGCUAACUCUGUG
rnacentral:rRNA from 1 species